UCGAGGAUAUUUAGCAAUGGGGGAAACCCUGACUAUGUGACGCCGCGUGAGGGAUGAAGGUUCUCGGAUCGUAAACCUCUUUCGAUGGGAAAGAAACCUCUGGUUAAUCGCCAGAGCUGACGGUACCCAGAGAAGAAGCCACGGCCAACUCCGUGCCAGCAGCCGCGGUAAUACGGGGGUGGCGAGCGUUACUCGGAUUUAUUGGGUGUAAAGGGCAGGUAGGUGGCUAUGCAAGUUGAGGGUGAAAUCCUUUGGCUCAACCAAAGAACUGCCUUCAAAACUGCAUAGCUUGAGGCCAGUAGAGGAGAGCGGAAUUCCCGGUGUAAGAGUGAAAUCUGUAGAUAUCGGGAGGAACACCAGUGGCGAAAGCGGCUCUCUAGCCUGGUCCUGACACUAAUCUGCGAAAGCUAGGGGAGCAAACAGG
rnacentral:rRNA from 1 species